rnacentral:rRNA from 1 species
CUGGAGUUACUAGUAAUCGCAGAUCAGAAUGCUGCGGUGAAGGCGUNCCCGGGUCUUGUACACACCGCCCGUCACACCACGGGAGUUGGAGACGCCCGAAGCCGAUUAUCUAACCUUUUGGAAGAAGGCGUCGAAGGUGGAAUCAAUAACUGGGGUGAAGUCGUAACAAGGUAGCCGUAUCGGAAGGUGCGGCUGGAUCACCUCCUUUCUAAGGA